GUUAUGGGUGGGAGGUCAAGUUUGACAAUUGGAAACUCCAGGUUCAUCGAUGUUUAUAACCCGGAGACGCACACAUGGUGCGAGAUGAAAAAUGGCUGUGUCAUGGUUACUGCACAAGCCGUGCUCGGGAAGGAGCUCAUUUGCAUGGAGUGGAAAAAUCAACGGAAGCUAGCAAUAUUUAACCCUGCGGAAAAUUCGUGGAAGAUGGUGCCAGUUCCGGUGACAGGGAGCUCGAGCGUUGGGUUUCAAUUUGGCAUACUAGAUGGUAAGCUUUUGCUGUUCCCUGUACAGGAGUAUCCGGGUUAUAACACCCUAUUGUAUGAUCCGAAUGCUGCCUCUGGGUCUCAAUGGCAAACUUCUGAGAUAAAGCCGUCGGGCUUGUGCCUAUGUAGCGUGACAAUUAAGGCUUGAGUUGAGUAUGUUAUCGUCGUAAAACUAAGAUUUCAUUAAGCUGUACGAUUUUGGGAUUAAGUUUGUUUACUGUAAUAUUUAUAGAUCAUGAGAUUAUCU
rnacentral:lncRNA from 1 species